rnacentral:rRNA from 1 species
GACCAGACUCCUACGGGAGGCAGCAGUAGGGAAUCUUUCACAAUGGGCGAAAGCCUGAUGGAGCAACGCCGCGUGCAGGAUGAAGGCCUUCGGGUUGUAAACUGCUUUUAUAAGCGAGAAAUAUGAUGGUAACUUAUGAAUAAGGAUCGGCUAACUACGUGCCAGCAGCCGCGGUAAUACGUAGGGGGCAAGCGUUAUCCGGAUUUACUGGGUGUAAAGGGAGCGUAGACGGCAUGGCAAGUCAGAUGUGAAAGCCCGGGGCUCAACCCCGGGACUGCAUUUGAAACUGUCAGGCUGGAGUGCAGGAGAGGUAAGUGGAAUUCCUAGUGUAGCGGUGAAAUGCGUAGAUAUUAGGAGGAACACCAGUGGCGAAGGCGACUUUCUGGACUGUACCUGACGCUGAGGCGCGAAAGCGUGGGUAGCGAACGGGAUUAGAUACCCGGGUACA